GGUGUUGUAGCUCAGUGGUAGAGCACUUGCCUAUGUGUGAGGCACUGGAUUCAAUUCUCAGCACCA
rnacentral:tRNA from 1 species